UGGCCAAAAAGUUCGUUCUGGUUUUUCCAUAAGAUGUUAUGGAAAAACCUGAACGAACUUUUUGACCAA
rnacentral:miRNA from 1 species